GUCUCUGUGGCUCAAUGGGUCAGUGCGUCUGGUUGUUAAUCGGAAGGUUGGUGGUUCAUGCCCACUCAGGGACA